UCCUUUCUCCUCCCGAUCUCCUUACUCGACCCCGACCCUUCUCACGCACACGCGGCGCUGACGACCGAUCGUCGUGAGCUCACCGCCGGCGACGAUUCCCUCCUCCAGUGUGUCUCACCACCAGUAGACCCUCUUGGAUACCAAGCCACCGACGACCUCUCCUCCCUUCCUCUCCCUCGGUGUCGCCUCUGUCCGACAUCACCGACGUCGGCAGGUGCCGCGCUGCCCAACGGACUUCGCCCGAUCGGAUCGGAGCCACAUGACCACAGAACCUUCCUCCUCCCUGUCCUUCUCGAGGUGUCGGGUCUUCCUCCUCUUCCUUUCUUGUGGGCGAUCGAGGUGAUCCGGCGAAGCUAGGGCACAGCAGCCGGGGAGUGGAUUCACAUUUGUCUUGGUGGAUUGCGCCCUUCUCAGUUCUUCUCUGGGAUCUAUUCACUAGAGGGGGUUGUGGAUCAUCACCAGUGGAGAUGGAUCGCGUGACGCCGUCUGUAGGCGACGAUUGUGGGGAAAGCUUCGGAUCAACUAGUGAUGGAUCUUCUUUGAGCAGAUCUUCAUCUCCCUCAAUUCUUGCGGCUGUGUAGGGUAUGGAUGAAGAUUUGGGGAUUGAUUGAGGGUUCUUGGUGGUUGUUGGCAGGGGUUCUUGUGGAGUUGUGAGUUUGGAUUGGCUGCCAUAUAUUAAGG